rnacentral:rRNA from 1 species
CGAAAGCCUGACGCAGCGACGCCGCGUGGGGAAGAAGGCCUCGGUUGUAAACCUCUUCAGCAGGGACGAAGCCACUCGGGUGAACAGCCCAGAGGGUGACGGUACCUGCAGAAGAAGCCCCGGCUAACUACGUGCCAGCAGCCGCGGUAAUACGUAGGGGGCAAGCGUUGUCCGGAUUUAUUGGGCGUAAAGAGCGUGUAGGCGGCCAGACAGGUCCGUUGUGAAAACUAGAGGCUCAACCUCUAGACGUCGAUGGAAACCGUUUGGCUAGAGUCCGGAAGAGGAGAAUGGAAUUCCUGGUGUAGCGGUGAAAUGCGCAGAUAUCAGGAAGAACACCCGUGGCUAAGGCGGUUCUCUAGUACGGUACUGACGCUGAGACGCGAAAGCGUGGGGAGCGAACAGGAUUAGAUACCCUGGUAGUCCACGCCGUAAACGAUGGGUGCUAGGUGUGGGGGGUGGUCGACUCCCUCCCGUGCCGAAGCUAACGCAUUAAGCACCCCGCCUGGGGAGUACGGCCGCAAGGCUAA